rnacentral:rRNA from 1 species
GACGAACGCUGGCGGCGUGCCUAAUACAUGCAAGUAGAACGCUGAAGGAGGAGCUUGCUUCUCUGGAUGAGUUGCGAACGGGUGAGUAACGCGUAGGUAACCUGCCUGGUAGCGGGGGAUAACUAUUGGAAACGAUAGCUAAUACCGCAUAAGAGUAGAUGUUGCAUGACAUUUGCUUAAAAGGUGCAAAUGCAUCACUACCAGAUGGACCUGCGUUGUAUUAGCUAGUUGGUGAGGUAACGGCUCACCAAGGCAACGAUACAUAGCCGACCUGAGAGGGUGAUCGGCCACACUGGGACUGAGACACGGCCCAGACUCCUACGGGAGGCAGCAGUAGGGAAUCUUCGGCAAUGGACGGAAGUCUGACCGAGCAACGCCGCGUGAGUGAAGAAGGUUUUCGGAUCGUAAAGCUCUGUUGUAAGAGAAGAACGAGUGUGAGAGUGGAAAGUUCACAC